CGAACGGGUGAGUAACACGUGAGGAACCUGCCCCGAAGACCGGGACAACACCGGGAAACCGGUGCUAAUACCGGAUACCUUCACCGGAUCGCAUGUUCUGGUGAAGAAAUGGAUUCCGCUUCGGGAUGGCCUCGCGGCCUAUCAGCUAGUUGGUGAGGUAACGGCUCACCAAGGCGACGACGGGUAGCUGGUCUGAGAGGAUGUCCAGCCACACUGGGACUGAGACACGGCCCAG
rnacentral:rRNA from 1 species